GAUGAACGCUGGCGGCGUGCCUAAUACAUGCAAGUCGAGCGAACAGACGAGGAGCUUGCUCCUCUGACGUUAGCGGCGGACGGGUGAGUAACACGUGGAUAACCUACCUAUAAGACUGGGAUAACUUCGGGAAACCGGAGCUAAUACCGGAUAAUAUAUUGAACCGCAUGGUUCAAUAGUGAAAGACGGUUUUGCUGUCACUUAUAGAUGGAUCCGCGCCGCAUUAGCUAGUUGGCAAGGUAACGGCUUACCAAGGCAACGAUGCGUAGCCGACCUGAGAGGGUGAUCGGCCACACUGGAACUGAGACACGGUCCAGACUCCUACGGGAGGCAGCAGUAGGGAAUCUUCCGCAAUGGGCGAAAGCCUGACGGAGCAACGCCGCGUGAAUGAUGAAGGUCUUCGGAUCGUAAAACUCUGUUAUUAGGGAAGAACAAAUGUGUAAGUAACUAUGCACGUCUUGACGGUACCUAAUCAGAAAGCCACGGCUAACUACGUG
rnacentral:rRNA from 1 species